UGUCACAUAGCCUGCCAAUACUUGAAAAUAUAUAUAAUAGUAAAGCAACGUAUUGUUUGCGCCGAAUCUUAUUUUGGAUUGAUUUUAUAGAUUAUCCCGAAACAUCUGUUUUAAGCGUUAAGGGGGUGUAAGAGGAAUUUGUGGAAGGAACGGAGAUUUGUAUAACAUCAACGCGUAACGGAAUAAUCAAAUGAAAAUGUUAAGAUUACCCGUGAUAAGAUUGACCGCGGGAAUACAGAAUGGUAGACUUUCUACCGCGGGAUUGCAUACAACAUCAUCUAAGUUUCAACAAGAAUUAGUGGAAGUAUUCAUAGAUGAUAAGCCAGUUCAGGUUCCACCUGGAACGACCGUUCUGCAAGCAGCUGCAAAAAUAGGAAUAGAAAUCCCAAGAUUUUGUUAUCAUGAACGUUUAGCUGUGGCAGGAAAUUGUAGAAUGUGUCUUGUGGAAAUUGAAAAACAGAUUAAGCCUGUUGCAGCUUGUGCCAUGCCUGUGAUGAAAGGAUGGAGAGUUAAAACCAAUUCUGAUUUAACUCGUAAAGCUCGAGAAGGUGUCAUGGAGUUUUUAUUAGUAAAUCAUCCUUUAGAUUGCCCUAUCUGUGAUCAAGGUGGUGAAUGUGAUUUACAAGAUCAAAGUAUGGCAUUUGGCAGUGAUCGAAGCCGUUUUGUUGACAUUAACUAUAGUGGCAAACGUGCAGUAGAAGACAAGGAUAUUGGUCCUUUAAUAAAAACAAUUAUGACACGUUGUAUUCAUUGCACACGAUGCAUUCGUUUUGCAUCUGAAGUAGCUGGUAUUGAUGAUUUAGGAACUACGGGCCGUGGAAAUGAUAUGCAAGUAGGAACAUAUGUAGAAAAAAUGUUUCUGUCUGAAUUAUCUGGAAACAUUAUCGACUUAUGCCCUGUUGGAGCAUUAACAAGUAAACCUUACGCUUUUGUUGCCCGCCCAUGGGAGACACGUCGUACGGACAGUAUCGAUAUUCUUGAUGCUGUCGGCAGUAAUAUAGUGAUAUCACAUAGAACGGGUGAAGUUUUAAGAAUUUUACCAAGAGUGAAUGAGGAAAUAAAUGAAGAGUGGUUGUCUGAUAAAGCACGAUUCUCUUAUGAUGGAUUAAAGCGUCAACGACUUAUAACUCCUAUGAUAAAAAUUAAUGGCAAAUUAGAAGCUGUUGAAUGGGAAGAUGCUCUUGUUACAACUGCUCGAGCUAUUCAGAAUGCAGCUCCAAAUAAAUGUGCUGCCAUUGCUGGAAAAUUAGCUGAUGCUGAAGCUCUUGUGGCCUUAAAAGAUUUAGUAAAUAGACUUGGUGGUGAAACUCUUGCAACAGAACAGAGUUUUCCAAAACAAGGCACAGGUAUUGACAUAAGAAGUAGUUAUCUACUAAACAAUACAAUUGCUGCAGUAGAAGACGCUGAUGUUGUAUUAUUGAUUGGUACUAAUCCGAGGUACGAAGCACCAUUAGUGAAUACCCGUUUAAGGAAAGGAUAUAUUCAUGGUGAACAGACCAUUGCUGUAAUUGGUCCAAAUAUAGAUUUAACUUAUGAUCAUGAGCAUUUAGGUCAAUCGCCAGAAAUUAUAACACAGUUAAGAAACGGUACUCAUUCGUUUUGGAACAUUUUGAGGUCUGCAAAAAAACCUUUAAUCAUCCUGGGUGUUGAGCAAUUGAUGAGAAAAGAUGGAGCAAAAAUUUUAUCUGAGACGCAAUUAUUGGCUCAAGCUUUAGGAGAAAAAACAAAAGCUCCUGAAGAAUGGAAGAUAUUAAAUAUUCUUCAUACAAAUGCAUCACAAGUGGCAGCUUUAGAUGUGGGUUAUUCAUCAACUGUUGAGGAAGUUAAAGAACAACAACCAAACAUUCUUUUUUUAUUAGGAGCUGAUGAUACAAAUAUCAAGAAAGAAGAUUUUAUGAAUACAUUUAUUAUAUACAUAGGUAGUCACGGUGACGAAGGAGCUUCAAUCGCAGAUGCUAUACUUCCUGGAGCUGCAUACACAGAAAAAGUUGCAACAUACGUGAAUACGGAAGGUCGUGCACAACAAACCUGUGCUGCAAUUACACCACCGGGUAUGGCACGACCAGAUUGGAAGAUCAUACGAGCACUUUCUGAAAUUUGCGGGGUAUGUUUGCCUUAUGAUAACCUAGCCGAAGUAAGAUCUAGAUUGGAAGAAAUAGCGCCGCAUUUAGUUAGAUAUGGUAACGUAGAACCGGCUAAUUAUUUUGCUCAAGCAUUAGAAUUAUCAAAGGAAAUAUCAGGUUCCUUGUCCUCCAAUCCAUUGGAAGUUAAACAAAAAACGUUAGAUCAUUUUUUCAUGACUGAUGUGAUAUCUCGUGCUUCGCAAACAAUGGCAAAGUGUGUCCAAGCAGUUAUAAAGCAAAGAGAAAGUACCUUAUAGAUUAGAAAUUUAAAUUAUGAAUAUAAAUAGCAAAACGUAUUUUAUGGCAAUAUAUAAUAGUAUAUGAAAAUAUAUUAAAGCUGAUAAAAUUUAAUAUUUUUUAUUACUACGUGAUGGUUGAGACAUAAAUUGAAUUAACAUUAAAACAUCAAUUUAAGUAAAUUAUUAUGUUCGAUGAAUUCUUGUAUGUGUUUUUAAUGUAAUUCAAAUAUUUAUUGGUGAUUUAGAUUCUUACCAAUAUUCAAAAUACUAUGUAUAUGAAAUUUUAACAACAUAAAUAAAAAAUAUCUAUCAUUGCUAUUA